rnacentral:lncRNA from 1 species
CACGGAUGAAAGUUUUCCCUGGAUGACCGGCAGGCACUGUAAAAAUGUUUGCUGUCCCCUGAACUUCGUACAAUUUCUUUAGAGAAUGAUCGUAUUUUUAAAAAUUUCCCUGGAGUUAAAUUCCUCCCUUGGUGUUACAUCUUUACAUUUAAAUCCUGUACAACUACCCUAUCUGCCAAAUCUCUGCACGAUAUCUCUCUGGCAUUUCACUGGGAAACUAACAUCAUAUUAUCUUUUAGUGUUAUCUAAUCUGCAGCUGAAACUAUAUUGCUUAUAUUUAAAUAAUAUUUAUCAAUAAUCCAUAUUCCUGAACACUGUUAAACUCAUUUAUUCAAUGUUGAAGAUUAUUCUCUCCCCCACUGUUAGAAGUUUUGCUCUCACGUAAUUUUUGCUUUAAUAGUUCUGCGUUGUCAUUUCAGUAGUUGGGGUAAAUGGACAUUCAUUUGAUUUUUUUUUUUUUUUUUUUUUUUUGACACGCAGUCUUGCUCCGUGGCCCAGGUUAGAGUAGAGUACAGCGGCACGAUCUCGGCUUACUGCAACCUCCGCCUCCCGGGUUCAAGUGAUUCUCCUGCCUCAGCCUCCUGAGUAGCUGGGAUUAAAACCGCCCACCACUGAGCCUGGCUGAUUUGUCUAUUUUUAGUGGAGACGGGGUUUCAUCAUCUUGGCCAGGCUGGUCUCGAUUGAUCUUUUUAUUUAAUAUUUGAGUUGUCUUACAUGUCACUGUGUCAAAUAUAUGUUAAUUUUCCUGUAAACAGUAUGAUCUAUUUCUAUAACUGUGGAAGUCAAACUCUAUUAAUAUAUCAAUAUUCUACUAAACAAUGUGUGCUUGUUAGGAAACUGUAAUAUAUGGCACUAUGUUGGUUUUUUGUGAAGAUUAAAUAAGUUAAUGUUUUCUCAAUAAACAUUAGUUCUAAACAUUAGUAACUAAUGCUGUUUUAUUAAUAUUUGAUCAGAAUUCAAUACCCGAUUAUAUCUAAUUAUCUUUGUAUUCUGACUUUUUGGGGUUAAAGAAUAUUCACAUUUCUGGAAAUCUAAUCCAAGAACAUAUACUCAAGUCUUUGAUAAUACAUGGUGAUAUCUCUUAUAUAAAUGAAGACAUGUCCUCCUAAAACAAUCUAUUUAAGCUAGUGUUUGUGUAUGUUAUGACCUAAAAGUGCAGUCUUUCUGCAAAGUCACUGACAGUUUAUGUGUAAUAACUUACACACUAUACCUACUUAUACUUAGCCUAAUAAAUGUUUUUAUUAUUCUUUGUUUUUAUAAUACAUUUAUUUAAUAUUUAAAAUGGUUGUUUUCACUGUUAAAUACAUAUUUAUAUGUAUUUUUGUUCUUUUCUUUUGAUCCAAUUUGUCGAUUUAUUGUGACUUCUGGUUAAGUGAUUCCUAGG